ACUCCUACGGGAGGCAGCAGUAGGGAAUCUUCCACAAUGGACGAAAGUCUGAUGGAGCAACGCCGCGUGAGUGAAGAAGGGUUUCGGCUCGUAAAACUCUGUUGUUAAAGAAGAACAUAUCUGAGAGUAACUGUUCAGGUAUUGACGGUAUUUAACCAGAAAGCCACGGCUAACUACGUGCCAGCAGCCGCGGUAAUACGUAGGUGGCAAGCGUUGUCCGGAUUUAUUGGGGCGUAAAGCGAGCGCAGGCGGUUUUUAAGUCUGAUGUGAAAGACCUUCGGCGUCAACCGAACGAAGUAGCAUCGGAAACGUAGGGAAACGUUAGAGUGCAGAAGAGGACAGUGGAACUCCAUGUGUAGCGGUGAAAUGCGUAGAUAUAUGGAAGAACACCAGUGGCGAAGGCGGCUGUCUGGUCUGUAACUGACGCUGAGGCUCGAAAGUAUGGGUAGCAAACAGGAUUAGAUACCCUGGUAGGAUAGCG
rnacentral:rRNA from 1 species